UGGAGGACUGAGAAGGUAAGGCAGUUGAACUUCAUGCUGCAUCUUACUGGUUAUAGCCUCCAAAACUAUCAUAGUGCAAUGGCAGCUCUUGUUACCCUCCUGACAUGAGGGUAAGCAGUACUGCAUUUG
rnacentral:snoRNA from 1 species